GUGAACCUGGCGUCAGGCUGCAAGGCAGGGUGAAUGAGGUAGGCCUCAGGCUGCAGGGCUAGAUGGAUGAGGUAGGCCUAAGGCUGCAGAGCAGGGUGGAUGAGGUAGGCCUCAGGCUUGCAGGGCAUGGUGGAUGAGGUAGGCCUCAGGCUGCAGGGCAGGGUGGAUGAGGUAGGCUUCAGGCUGCAGGGCAGGGUGGAUGAGGUAGGCCUCAGGCUGCAGAGCUGGGUGGAUGAGGUAGGCCUCAGGCUACUGAGCUUUUCUUGUUGUUGGUACUGCCUCAGAUCUUG